CUCCUCCCCCCUUACUCCUUUCAAAGCUUGGUCUUUUAAAGCUUUAUGUUCUUGGGCAGAUUGUUAUUACUGCUUUAUCACUUGAUGUGGGAAGUCUUAGUUGCAUUGAGUGGGGUUUGCGAUAUGAGAAGGAAUGUAGCUACUGGAAUUGGUCUUUAGCUAUUGUAUUAGAGUUCUGAUUUUUCAAUUGGGGCACUUAGCUUACUGUAUUGAGAACUUGAGGGUUCUGCUAUUGUUCCAUACUUGGUUGUGAGAAUCCUAUAGAAAUUCUAAGUUCUUGUGCUAUCUACUGAGCUAGCUCUACAUGAUGCAAAGGGUGUUGAGGGAAUUACCUCACUUGGUGAAUCCUUGAUUCUUGGCUGCCACCUCCUUCUCUCUGCCACCGCCUCUCCUUCGAUACUUCUUAAAAAUAUUCAAACUUUGGGGUGCUUGAGCGGUAUGGGAGAGAAGUGGCGUUGGGUGGUUUAUAUAGCCACUUUGCUUGGCUGUUUGUGAUUGGAAUCUUGGAGGCAAAGGCUCCUAUUUUGGGGUUGCUAGUUCUUUCUCUUUCGAGCUUGAUGAUUGUGAGAUUCUUGCCGUUUUGGUGAUUGUGGCUGAUCUUCUUGGCUGAUUUCUCGGCCUUGAUCGACGGGGAGAUGAGAGUUUGACUCAUCUUCUACUUUGGGCUUGUGUACAUGGAGGCAUUCUUGGAGCUUGUGGAGGGGAGCAAAAUCGAGAAUAAGAAUGGGAGGGAAAGAAAGAAGAUGCUCCUCUUGAGCCCAUUUGGUUCUAUCCUCAAUUUAGUUUGCUUCCAAACUUGAGAAUUAAAGAAGUGGAUAGAUAGUGUAGAAUAGGUGCAUGUUGAUUUUAUCACACUUGAAGGCAUGUACUAUUUCCAUUAUCCAUGUAUUUUAUUCCUCAAGGUGUAUCCGCAUUUCUCUAAUGAAAGUAUUUUCUCCA